GACGAACGCUGGCGGCGUGCUUAACACAUGCAAGUCGAACGGAAAGGCCCUGCUUUUGUGGGGUGCUCGAGUGGCGAACGGGUGAGUAACACGUGAGUAACCUGCCCUUGACUUUGGGAUAACUUCAGGAAACUGGGGCUAAUACCGGAUAGGAGCUCCUGCUGGAUGGUGGGGGUGGGAAAGUUUCGGGGGUUGGGGAUGGACUCGCGGCUUAUCAGCUUGUUGGUGGGGUAGGGGCUUACCAAGGGUUUGACGGGUAGCCGGCCUGAGAGGGUGACCGGCAAAAUUGGGACUGAGAUACGGCCCAGACUCCUACGGGAGGCAGCAGUGGGGAAUAUUGCACAAUGGGCGGAAGCCUGAUGAAGCAACGCCGCGUGCGGGAUGACGGCCUUCGGGUUGUAAACCGCUUUCGCCUGUGACGAAGCGUGAGUGACGGUAAUGGGUAAAGAAGCACCGGCUAACUACGUG
rnacentral:rRNA from 1 species